rnacentral:rRNA from 1 species
UGCGUAGGUGGUGAGGUAAGUCGGAUGUGAAAGCUCGGAGCUCAACUCCGAAAUGGCAUUGGAAACUACCUUGCUCGAGGGAUGGAGGGGGGACUGGAAUUCUCGGUGUAGCAGUGAAAUGCGUAGAUAUCGAGAGGAACACCAGUGGCGAAGGCGAGUCCCUGGACAUCUCCUGACACUGAGGCAAGACUAGGGGAGCGAAC